GUCCAGACUCCUACGGGAGGCAGCAGUGGGGAAUAUUGGGCAAUGGACGCAAGUCUGACCCAGCAACGCCGCGUGAAGGAAGAAGGCUUUCGGGUUGUAAACUUCUUUUAAGGGGGAAGAGCAGAAGACGGUACCCCUUGAAUAAGCCACGGCUAACUACGUGCCAGCAGCCGCGGUAAUACGUAGGUGGCAAGCGUUGUCCGGAUUUACUGGGUGUAAAGGGCGUGCAGCCGGGAAGACAAGUCAGAUGUGAAAUCCCGCGGCUCAACCGCGGAACUGCAUUUGAAACUGUUUUUCUUGAGUAUCGGAGAGGUAAUCGGAAUUCCUAGUGUAGCGGUGAAAUGCGUAGAUAUCACGCAGAACCCCGAUUGCGAAGGCAGCAUACCGGUGCACAACUGACGCUCAGGCACGAAAGCGUGGGUAUCGAACAGGAUUAGAUACCCGCGUACU
rnacentral:rRNA from 1 species